UCCCUCCCCGGUGCCUCCCCCGGUGCCUCCCCCGGUCCCUCCCCGGUGCCUCCCCGGUGCCUCCGAGCGCUGCCGGAGGGGGAAUUGUGGCCGCUCCGGCCCCUUGCCUGCUGUCCCCUCGGUCGGGAUGGCGGGGGCACAUCCCUGGUGGCAGUCUGGGUUGGGAGGGACCUUAAGGACCGUCCGUUUUCACGCUGGACACGGGCGGGGACACCUUCCGCUAUCCCGGGGUGCUCCAACCUGGCCUUGGAUGCUCCCAGGGAUGGGGCAGCCACAGCUGCUCUGGGCACCCUGUGCCUCCCCACGCUCGCAGACAGUUUGUAACCCUUUUUCCUAAAAUUACUGCUUUUUUUUCCCCCAUUUCCCCCCAGUUUUCUCUGCAGCAGCUUUUACUCAGUCUCCAGACCCACCUUCUCUCUCCCGCUCCAGUUUCCCGGAGUUUUCCCCUGAGUUUUCCCCAGGUAAUGCAUCUCUUUUCCUCCCUCGAGGUCACACCUUUCCACCUCCAGGGCCUGGGAUGGGGACUCCAGCAGAGAAGCACAGCAAGGCCUGGCCUCAAAUCAUCUCCUGCUCAUCUCUCUACCCAAAUUCCUGCCUCCCUGGGAAUUUCCUGCCUGCACAGCGCUGGGAAAGCUGGGACAAGGUCCAGGUCUUUCCUAUAUUUGGGGCUCCAGAAGUGGAUAUUCCACAUGUUUGAUGCACAUUUUUAUCCAUCUGGGACAGAUGCAGGAUAUUGAUAUGGAAAGAUGGUGGAGGAAAAAUACGUGAUUGCUCGAUGAGGAAAUCCAGGCCAGAACUUUCAUUCCUUCUGGAAUCAUCUGUAUUUAACCAUUAAAAUAAAAUGGAUUUGGGCUCAGGUGGGGGAAAUAUUUGGUCCAAGUUCAAAAUCAGGUUCAGCAGGGGAAAAACUUACACAUAAUUAUUAUUUCUCAAUAAAAAAUAAUAUGAAUCA